UUGAUCCUGGCUCAGAACGAACGCUGGCGGCGCGUUUUAAGCAUGCAAGUCGGACGGUAGUACAGAGCUUGCUCUGUAUGAGAGUGGCGAACGGGUGAGUAACACGUAGGUGAUCUACCUUUGGAUUGGGGAUAGCCCAUGGAAACAUGGGGUAAUACCGAAUAAAGCGGUUGAAAUAGAAAUCAACUGUGAAAGGCGCUUAGGCGCCGUCUGAAGAUGAGCCUGCGGCUUAUUAGCUAGUUGGUAGGGUAACGGCUUACCAAUGCGACGAUAAGUAGCCGGCCUGAGAGGGUGGACGGNCACACUGGGACUGAGACACGGCCCAGACUCCUACGGGAGGCAGCAGCUAAGAAUCUUCCGCAAUGGGCGAAAGCCUGACGGAGCGACGCCGCGUGGGUGAAGAAGGCCGAAAGGUUGUAAAGCCCUUUUCUCGCAGAAGAAUAAGGGCAGGAGGGAAUGCCUGUCUGAUGACGUUAGGUGAGGAAUAAGCCCCGGCCAAUUACGUGCCAGCAGCCGCGGUAACACGUAUGGGGCGAGCGUUGUUCGGAAUCAUUGGGCGUAAAGGGCGCGCAGGCGGUUAAAUAAGCCUGGUGUGAAAGGCUACAGCUCAACUGUAGUUUCGCGCUGGGAACUGUCUGACUAGAGUUCUGGAGGGGAAGCUGGAAUUCCUGGUGUAGGGGUGAAAUCUGUAGAUAUCAGGAAGAACACCGGUGGCGAAGGCGAGCUUCUAGCCAAGAACUGACGCUGAGGCCGCGAAAGCGUGGGGAGCGAACAGGAUUAGAUACCCUGGUAGUCCACG
rnacentral:rRNA from 1 species